rnacentral:rRNA from 1 species
CACGUAGGGGGCAAGCGUUGUCCGGAUUUAUUGGGCGUAAAGAGCUCGUAGGUGGUUCGGUAAGUCGGGUGUUAAACCCCCAGGCUCAACCUGGGGACGCCACUCGAUACUGCUGUGACUAGAGUCCGGUAGGGGAGCGUGGAAUUCCUGGUGUAGCGGUGAAAUGCGCAGAUAUCAGGAGGAACACCAGCGGCGAAGGCGGCGCUCUGGGCCGGUACUGACACUGAGGAGCGAAAGCUAGGGGAGCGAACAGG